rnacentral:rRNA from 1 species
UACGUAGGGUGCAAGCGUUGUCCGGAAUUAUUGGGCGUAAAGAGCUCGUAGGCGGUUUGUCGCGUCUGCUGUGAAAACUCGGGGCUUAACCCCGGGCCUGCAGUGGGUACGGGCAGACUAGAGUGCGGUAGGGGAGACUGGAAUUCCUGGUGUAGCGGUGAAAUGCGUAGAUAUCAGGAGGAACACCGGUGGCGAAGGCGGGUCUCUGGGCCGAUACUGACGCUGAGGAGCGAAAGCGUGGGGAGCGAACAGG